rnacentral:rRNA from 1 species
UACGUAGGAGGCGAGCGUUAUUCGGAAUCAUUGGGCGUAAAGGGCGCGUAGGCGGCUUCAUAAGUCUUGGGUGAAAGCCCUCGGCUCAACCGAGGAAUUGCCUUGGAUACUGUGAAGCUCGAGGCUGGAAGAGGGCAGUGGAAUUCCCGGUGUAGCGGUGAAAUGCGUAGAUAUGCGGAGGAACACCGAUGGCGAAGGCAGUCCCCUGGGCCUGCACUGACGCUCAUGCACGAAAGCGUGGGGAGCAAACAGG